rnacentral:lncRNA from 1 species
UGUGUGGUGGUUGGUGGUAAUGCAAUAUAUGCUCCCAAUUUCAACGGCUGGUAUAGGUAAGUUUUUUUUUUAUUAUGUCUUACACAAACUAGUUUUUAGUAGGGUAUAGCAAAAGAAGAUUUGUUUUCUCUAGAAUUUAGAUUUUUUUUUAUAUAUUUCAUUUGUGAAAAAGCUUAUACGCUUGGAGAUUGAAGAUUAUGGAAGAGAUUAUAUAAUUGGUGUUGAAUUUGAGUCAAGUUGAAUUUCAAAUUUUUGAAGGUGUCAAGAUUUAAAGUUCUCUUAUAUUAAAUUAGAGGUUGAAGACAUUUGAUUCAUAACAUAUUUGGUUAGCAGAAGGUUCAAAAGAAAACAAUAUUCAAUCAACCAAAGCUCUAUACUAAUUGACAUAUAGGUGAACCUCCACUUUAGAACUUCAUAUAGAAACAUGCAUUUCCUCUCCAUCUCAACUAUUGAUAUUGAUAUGUAUCUGAUGAAUCUCCGCACUUUACGUCAGAUCAAUUGAAAAUAUUUUUAAAUGUCU